GAUGCCGGACCUGCCGGCACCAUGGCUGCAGCUGCUCUGCUGCACCUGUGACCUUGGGGCAAAGAGGAAGCGGCUAUUUCUACGCUCAGUGCCCAGAACAGUGGGCACUAAGAAUGGUUUGUAGCCGGACAUUG
ensembl:snoRNA